UGAGUUAGUAAGUUAAGCUAUUUGGUGGAUUGCUCGGCUCGAGUGCUGAUGAAGGUCGUGCCAAGCCGCGAUAUUACUCUGGGUAGGCGCAAGGAGCCUAUGAUCCGGAGAUUACCGAAUGGGACUUCCUGCCGCUUUGGCGGCAUUCACAUUAGUGAAUAGGAACCUGCCGAAUUGAAACAUCUUAGUAGGCAGAGGAAAAGAAAUCAAUUGAGAUUGGGUUAUUAAAGGCGAUCGAACGCCCAAAAGAGCAAAACGAAUCUCAUGGCGAAGAGUCAUGAGAGAUGUGUAGUUUUGGACUCAUUUACUCCCUAGUUGGCUAACUUGAGGUUCCCUGGAAUGGGGCGCCAUAGAGGGUGAUAGCCCCGUAAAGGUAAACCAACGGGAGAUUUUUGAGUAUCCUGAGUAGCGUGCGUUGGAUAUCGCGCGUGAAUUUGGGAGGCACAAACUUCCAACUCUAAAUACAUCUCGAGACCGAUAGUGUAAUAGUAGCGUGAGUGAACGUUGCAAAGUACCCUUAGCGGGAGGUGCAAAGAGCAUGAAACUAAAUAGUUACAGACGGAUAAGGCAUGAAAGCGACGAAGCUACUUAGGUAGUGGAGCAGUGUUUUAUCGUGCGUUUCGAAAAAUGGGCCAGGGAGUUCUUUGUAAUGGCGAGGUUAAGGAGUUUUCUCUCUGAAACCGUAGUGAAAGCAAUUGCCCGCAGGUAACAAGGGGCAAGGCGUGCUCGCCUGUAGUCAUUACAUAGAGACCCGAAACCAGUCGAUCUAUGCAUGGCUAGGCUGAAGCCCUAUGAAAGUGGGGUGGAGGGCCGAACCGGUGCUGAUGUGCAAAUCGCUCGGAUGAGCUGUGUAUAGGGGCAAAAGACCAAUCUAGACUGGCGAUAGCUGGUUCCUCCCGAGACUACUCGUAGGUAGAUCUCUGAUGAGAUCGGUUGUGAGGUAGAGCACUAAUUAGGUGUUUAGGGGAGGAAACUCCUCGACAUCUUGUUAAACUCCGAAUUUGCAACCAUCGUAGAUUCAGGGUAGUGAGGGCAUCUGGGGUAAGCUUGGUGUCCGAAAGGGAAACAACCCAGCCUUGUGUUAAGGUCCCAAAGUAUCAGCUAAGUGUUAUAGAACAAAGAGAGUCUGUAACCUCAGACAACCAGGAGGUUGGCUUAGAAGCAGCCAUCCUUUAAAGAAAGCGUAACAGCUCACUGGUCGAGGUUGUGGGCCUUGAAAAUGGACGGGGCUCAAGCUGAUCACCGAUACAUAAGCACUCCGAAAGGAGAUUGAGUAGGGAGGCGUCGUGCGUGGGUGGAAGUUUGGCCGUGAGGUCAAGUGGACCGCGUACGAACGAGAAUCCUGGCAAAAGUAGCAGCAUAGUAAAGUGAGAAUCUUUACCACCGAAGGGGCUAGGGUUCCUCGACGAUGUUCAUCAGUCGAGGGUUAGUCGGUCCUAAGGCAAUCCUUAACUGAGGUUGUCGAAUGGGAAACAGGUUAAUAUUCCUGUACUUUGUAGACAUUUGUCCAAUCUUUGACGCAUUCGGGUAGACUUAGCAGGUUUGUCUAUCUGUCCAAGCGUAUUAAAUUGGGGGAGAACCGUAAUGGUGAGAACCCGAUCAAAGCGUGAUGGAUCCGCCGUUUUUAGGUGGAUUAGGUUUAUCCCAAGUGCCCAUGAAAAUUAGAUUGGGAUGUAGUCUAUGAAUCCGUACCGAGAACUGACACAGGUGCCCCUAGCUGAGAAGGCUAAGGUGUGUCGGUGUAAUUCAGGCGAGGGAACUCGGCAAAUUAGCCCUGUACCUUAGGUAGAAGGGGUGCCUGCUCUGAGAGAGAGCAGGUCACAGUGACAAGGGGGCUCCGACUGUUUAAUAAAAACACAGGUGACCGCAAGUCCGAAAGGAUGUGUAUGGUCGCUGAAUUCUGCCCAGUGGCGGUAUCUGAAAACCCCGUUCAAGGGGGAGAAGGACCGUUAAACGGCGGGGGUAACUCUGACCCUCUUAAGGUAACGUAAUACCUUGCCGCUUAAUUGGCGGCUUGCAUGAAUGGAGCAACGAGAGCCCUACUGUCCCCGCCUGAAAGCCGGUGAAAUUGACUUACUGGCGCACAGUCCAGUACCUUCUAGAAGGGAGCGAAGACCCCGUGGAGCUUUACUACAGCCUGUCGUUGUGAUGCGGUGAUGGAUGUACAGCGUAGAUGGGAGCCAUCGAAACCCUAGCGCUAGCUAGGGUGGAGGCACCAAUGGAACACCAUCCUUCUUUCGCCACGUCACUAACUAGAAAUAGAACACCGAUAGGUGGGUAGUUUGGGUGGGGCGCCACGCCCUCGAAAAGAUAUCAAGGGCGCCCAAAGGUCACCUCAAGGAGGUCAGAAAUCUCCUGUAGAAUGCAAGGGUAUAAGGUGGCUUUACACGGAUUGGCACAAUAACAAUCCGCGUUGCGAAAGCAAGGCCUAGCGAACCAAUCAACCUCUUUUGUGGGGGUGAUUGAUAACAGAAAAGUUACCCCGGGGAUAACUGAGUUGUCUUCAGCAAGAGCCCAUAUCGACCUGAAGGCUUGCUACUUCGAUGUCGUCUCUCCGCAUCCUGGCGGUGCAGCAGCUGCCAAGGGUGGGGUUGUUCGCCCAUUAAAGCGGAUCGUGAGAUGGGUUUAGACCGUCGUGAGACAGGUUUGUUGCUAUCUUCUAGAAGCGUUGAUGCUUGAAGGGAAAGACCCUUUAGUACGAGAGGAACAGGGGUCUGUAGCCGCUAGUUUACCAGUUGUCCGACAGGGCAAUGCUGGGCAGCCACGCUAUAAGGGAUAAAUGCUGAAAGCAUCUAAGCAUGAAGUCUACCCUAAGACGAGGCAUCAUAGGAUACGAGUAAAAGACUCGUUUGAUAGAGCUGGGGUGUAAGCAAGAAGGCAACGACUUGUUCAGCCCGCAGCCACUAAAAAUCCAUUCAAUUACUGAC
rfam:Thermoplasmatales archaeon SCGC AB-539-N05 MBGDN05_Contig28.28, whole genome shotgun sequence.